rnacentral:rRNA from 1 species
UACGUAGGGUGCGAGCGUUGUCCGGAAUUAUUGGGCGUAAAGGGCUCGUAGGCGGUUUGUCACGUCAGGAGUGAAAACUCGGGGCUCAACCCCGAGCCUGCUUCUGAUACGGGCAGACUAGAGGUAUGCAGGGGAGAACGGAAUUCCUGGUGUAGCGGUGAAAUGCGCAGAUAUCAGGAGGAACACCGGUGGCGAAGGCGGGUCUCUGGGCAACAACUGACGCUGAGGAGCGAAAGCGUGGGGAGCGAACAGG